rnacentral:rRNA from 1 species
UGGAGGGCAAGUCUGGUGCCAGCAGCCGCGGUAAUUCCAGCUCCAAUAGCGUAUAUUAAAGUUGUUGCAGUUAAAAAGCUCGUAGUUGAAUUUCGGGGUUAGUAGGUUGGUCAUGCCUCUGGUAUGUACUGGUCUCACUGAUUCCUCCUUCCUGAUGAACCGUAAUGCCAUUAAUUUGGUGUUGCGGGGAAUUUGGACUGUUACUUUGAAAAAAUUAGAGUGUUUAAAGCAAGCUAACGCUUGAAUACAUUAGCAUGGAAUAAUGAAAUAGGACGUUCGAUCCUAUUUUGUUGGUUUCUAGGAUUGACGUAAUGAUUAAUAGGGAUAGUUGGGGGCAUUAGUAUUCAAUUGUCAGAGGUGAAAUUCUUGGAUUUAUUGAAGACUAACUACUGCGAAAGCAUUUGCCAAGGAUGUUUUCAUUAAUCAAGAACGAAAGUUAGGGGAUCGAAGACGAUCAGAUACCGUCGUAGUCUAACCAUAAA